AUUGAACGCUGGCGGAAUGCUUUACACAUGCAAGUCGAACGGUAGAGGGGGCAACCCCUCGAGAGUGGCGAACGGGUGAGUAAUAUAUCGGAACGUGCCCAGUCGUGGGGGAUAACGUAGCGAAAGUUACGCUAAUACCGCAUACGAUCUAAGGAUGAAAGCGGGGGAUCGCAAGACCCCGCGCGAUUGGAGCGGCCGAAAUCAGAUUAGGUAGUUGGUGGGGUAAAGGCUCACCAAGCCAACGAUCUGCAGCUGGUCUGAGAGGGCGACCAGCCACACUGGAACUGAGACACGGUCCAGACUCCUACGGGAGGCAGCAGUGGGGAAUUUUGGACAAUGGACGCAAGUCUGAUCCAGCCAUUCCGCGUGCAGGAUGAAGGCCCUCGGGUUGUAAACUGCUUUUGUACGGAACGAAAAGGUCUCUCUUAAUACGGGGGGCUCAUGACGGUACCGUAAGAAUAAGCACCGGCUAACUACGUGCCAGCAGCCCGCCGUAA
rnacentral:rRNA from 1 species